UGAUCCUGACCUGCUCCAGCAGAGCCAAACCUCCUGUGAGCCGCUUCACCUGGUUCAAGACCAGCAGAGAUGCACCAAAUAAUCGAUCAAUAUAUCAAACAAUCAAAGUAUCUGAAGGAAACUUUUACAGCUUCAAUGUCACUGAUGGAGUUUAUUACUGUGUGGCCACCAAUCAGCUUGGUGAUCAAACAUCAUCAGAGAUCCAUCUGACUAUAGAAGGUGAUCAACUGGUUGGUGCUCAAGUCAUCGUGAAGGUCCUGGGAAUCAUUCUGCUCGUCACUACUUUGCUCAUCUUUGAGUGCUGGUUGAAAUCAAGACGCUGCACCAAACCACAGGAGGACGCAGUAGGAGCCGACUAUGUUAACAUGGUGGUGGAGUUACAUCCAUGAGGCAGAAGAGGAGGCUAUGAAGCUGUAUCAUCUUCUCUGUAUUCAUUAGUCUUAGUGCGCUUCUUACAACAAUGUGUGUUGCUUUUCUCUUAUUACUUAAUGGUAUUCUGUAAAGAUGAAGGGUUAAUAAUGCUUAUAAGCUUCUUCUGUGUCUUUCUUAAAAUCAUCAAUAAAAACAUCCUCUUAUAUUUUA